AGAUGAUUUGGGAAAUCGAAUAAAAAAAAUGCUUGGUCAAAACUUUAAAAAUUUUUGCUACUUUAAGGUUUUUCUUUGCCUUUUUCAGUCUGCUUUACAAGAACUUGAAGAAUUGAAACAAAUUGUUCCCAAAGAAUCCCUCGUUUACUUCUUAAUAGGAAAGGUUUACAAGAAGUUAGGUCAAACGCACCUCGCCCUGAUGAAUUUCUCUUGGGCUAUGGAUUUAGAUCCUAACGGAGCCAAUAACCAGAUUAAAGAGGCAAUUGAUAAGCGCUAUCUUCCAAAUGAUGAGGAGCCAAUAACCCAAGAAGAACAGAUCAUGGGAACAGAUGAAUCCCAGGAGAGCAGCAUGACAGAUGCGGAUGACACACAACUUCAUGCAGCUGAAAGUGAUGAAUUUUAACUUCUGGAAAUCGGACUUUUACAACUGGAUGUGUGACUAGUGCUGACAUGUUUCUCGUCCCUCCAUAUACUGAGUCUUUACUCUUGAGCCGGCGGUGUCAUCAUCCAUCACUUAUACCAUGAGUGUGCCACUUUCAUUGGACCCUGACUGUAUACGGAAUGAAAGGCAGUGCAAUAUUUAGCUGCUAACAAGACUGGCUCUUUUACCAGUAUGAAUGACAAUUUAUGGGGGGUAGGGUGGGGAACUUUCUUUUCUGUUUUUCUUUAAUCUCCCUUUGUUGGAAAGUAUCAUGAAAGGAAGAGUUAUGUUUUAUCUUGAAGGAACCAUUAGAUAUGGAAAAUAGUGAUGAACCAGAAUUUCUUGGUUGCUUUCUCAAAAAUUUGUUUUUAUUUGGUUCUGUUCCUGAUAAACAGAGUAACUGACCUUCAUUUCUAGGUUCUUCAAGAAUGGUGUUUGCAAGUGCCAGAUGGAACAAUAAAAGACGUUGCCUAUAACAGUAACUUGAUUGCCAAGGAAUGUAAAUUACCUUCAACUUGCAGUGUCUCCCAUAAACAAAUGUAAUGGGCAUAUUGGGACUCGUAUGUAGGAAUCAAAUAUCCCUCCAUACAGUGUACACUUAUUCUUGGCAAGAAUGCUUUAAUGUCUAACCAAGAAUUUUAAUUUAUUCAUCUUGCUUCAAAGUGUUGAUCAUUGUUGUCUUGGUAUUGCAAACUUUAAAAUUGGUUAUACCAUAUUGCCUCUUCUCUUUGAGCUCUGUGGGAUCACCUUUAACAUUCAGAGAUGAUAGAGUGGUUCCCCACUGAGAAGCCAAAACAAGGCCCUUAAUAAUCCCUUAAGUUCACCAUAUCAAUCAGAAUGAGAACACUAAAGUGGACAGACUUUAAGAGAUCAUGAUAGUGAAAGCCUUAAUAUAAUCAGAAUUGUACCAUAACCUUGAAUCUAUAUUUGUUCAAAACAUUAUCCCUUUGACUUUUCUAAGUGUUUGCUUAAGCAGAGUAUAAGAAUGUGCGGUUACCUUUGGUUGAGAUCCUUUCCAUUCUUUUUGACUCUCUGCUUCAGAUUUUUUCAGUAGUGUGAGUCACCAAAACAUUUACUAAGAAUUGGGUUUAGGAUAUUGGAAAUUUUUAGCUUAGGGGAAGAAACAUUCUUAAGAAGGAAAUAGGUUCUCUUCUGAGUUUGUCAUAAUAUCGGUUGGUGUCUUUGGGAAAUGACCACAAUUUUAAGAAUUUAAUUAUGCAUAUAAAUUGAUAAUUAUUGGAAUUCCACCGUAACAGAUUUAAACAGUCUUAAAUUGUUUAUCUCCUUUAUUGUAAUGUAUUGAAAUAUUAGAGAAACUUUAGUUGUUAACAUUUUAUUAAGUGCCAAUGUCAGAAUAUAACAAAUUAUAGUUUCUUUUGAAUGACAGGCCUACAGUUAUUAUUUUGGAUUAUUUGAUGAAGGACAAACUUACCUGUAUUUGUUAGUCAAGCUGUGAAAAUAAGGUGGAUUACAAAAGAUGUGAAAAAAAUUGUAGCCUGUAGACUCAGUAAUUUUCUAUAAUUUACUGUUAAUCUCAUUUGAAUAUGGAUUAGGUACAAUUAUAAAUUAAUUCAAGUCAGGGUCUUUAGGUAUCAGGUGCCAGAGAGAUAUUUAACAGAUUUCCCUACCUUAAUUUAUGUAUACUGUCUAAAAAAAUACUAAAUAUGUAUUACUGUCUAAAAAAAUACUUUUUAAAAAAAAGGAACAGUUGGGAGAAAAUAAAUAUAAUGAAAAAUUCCCAGAGGCUAGCACUUGGAUUCUAACGCGUAUGCUAUUGUAUUAUCCAUUAGUUCUGUAAUAUUUAAUUUUAGAUUCUUUUAUAUUUUUAAUUGGCAAAGCACAAGGUGCUGUGUAACAGUGUCAUUUAGAGUUUUAUAGAAAGCUUCAACCUGAGUUCUGCGUUUUAAAGCCUGGAGAAAGCUAAGCUUAGAACAUAAUUUGCUGAAGUAUAAUUAUCUUUUUGUAGUAGGAAUUUAUGUCCUGUGCCACAAGUGAGAGUCUUUCUGGUACUGAUUUUUUGAGACCAAGGAUAAAAGGAUCGUUUUGUAAGACACGCCAUGGCAAUCAAUGGCUGGCUGGGGGACAGUUUCCGCCCAAGCUUGGCCUAUUUUAUUUUUCCUCAUACCUACUUUUAAAAUUAUUAGGUAUCUGAAGCCUUAUUUCCCACCUAGUAACACUUUCUGGCUUUUGCGGUUUCUUUUUUUUGUUUUGUUUUUUGCAUGGAAUGGGGAUCAAACAACCAGAAGAAGAACACAUUUUGAUCAAGCAAAAUGUUUGUUUCAAACAUCAGAAGUUUAUUUUACAGAAAUUAAAUUAAGUAGUUUGACAUCCUUUUCUCUGUUUCACACACAUAUUAGGUUGGUGCAUAAGUAAUUGUGGUUUUUGCCAUGACUUUUAUGGCAAAACCUGCAGUUACUUUUGUACCAACCUAAUACAUAUAUAUGUGCACACACUUGCUCAGAAGCUAUGUUGUGGCCUUGGAUUUGUUUUUCCCCUUGGAAAUGGUUCUUAACUCUGGGAUUUUAGAAGGUUAGAAUAUUUUUUCAAGAGAACAGUGGUACUCAAAAUAAUGAAAGGUGGUCCCUACAUUUUCUGUAUUCAUCACUUAAAAUUUUUUAUUUUUCCAAGAACUACAAGUAACAUUUGAACCAUGCUGCUGUUGUACCUUAAACAAAAACUCAGUGAUAACCAGUAUUUAGUCUAUUAAAAAUGCUCUUUUUGAAGAAAACAGUUUGGAAGUCUCUGAUUAGCCAGAGUAUAGUAUGAGUCUUCACUGAGAAAUACGGUGACCCAUUUUCUUUGUGAAAACCUGGGAAAAUGCAAGUGUGGGUGUGAAGUGUGUGUUCUGUUUGCAUUGAAACAAUGUAAUUUUGUGUCUUCUUUUUGCUUUAACUGACUUAUUUCAGAAAUUGUACAGUCUUGAGGGGGAAAGUCUUUUCUGUUAAUAUAUUUGCAAUUCAUUAAAGGAUAUGGAAAAUCCAAAUAAGUUACUUUUGAAAGCAAUUGAUAAUCAAGUUGUUAAAGCUAUAUGAAAGCUGUGCCAUCUGUAUUUUAAUAAGAAGGCACAGAAAAAUAGAGAUACAGUUUUAUGUUUCACAAAAAUCUAGAGCAAUGUUUAUCUAAUUUUUUAAAACUUACACUCUCUUUUAAUAUAUUUAUAUUUUUAAACGGUCAUACUCUUUUUUAGUAUUAUUUGGAAUAUCAAAAUAAAUACUAUGACA
rnacentral:lncRNA from 1 species